rnacentral:rRNA from 1 species
CUACGGGUGGCAGCAGUGGGGAAUAUUGCGCAAUGGGCGAAAGCCUGACGCAGCAACGCCGUGUGAGGGAUGAAGGCUUUCGGGUCGUAAACCUCUGUCAGAAGGGAAGAACGGGUAUUGGUCUAAUAGGCCAUUAUUUUGACGGUACCUUCAGAGGAAGCACCGGCUAACUCCGUGCCAGCAGCCGCGGUAAUACGGAGGGUGCAAGCGUUAUUCGGAAUUACUGGGCGUAAAGCGCACGUAGGCCGCUUUGUAAGUCAGGGGUGAAAUCCCACGGCUCAACCGUGGAACUGCCUUUGAAACUGCAGAGCUUGAAUCCUGGAGAGGGUGGCGGAAUUCCUGGUGUAGGAGUGUAAUCCGUAGAUAUCAGGAGGAACACCGGUGGCGAAGGCGGCCACCUGGACAGGUAUUGACGCUGAGGUGCGAAAGUGUGGGGAGCAAACAGGAUUAGAUACCCUUGUAGUC